rnacentral:rRNA from 1 species
UACGGAGGAUCCAAGCGUUAUCCGGAAUCAUUGGGUUUAAAGGGUCCGUAGGCGGUUUUGUAAGUCAGUGGUGAAAGCCCAUCGCUCAACGGUGGAACGGCCAUUGAUACUGCAAGACUUGAAUUAUUGGGAAGCAACUAGAAUAUGUAGUGUAGCGGUGAAAUGCUUAGAGAUUACAUGGAAUACCAAUUGCGAAGGCAGGUUGCUGCCAAUAUAUUGACGCUGAUGGACGAAAGCGUGGGGAGCGAACAGG